UACGAAGGGGGCUAGCGUUGUUCGGAAUCACUGGGCGUAAAGCGCGCGUAGGCGGCUUUCCAAGUCAGAGGUGAAAUCCCGGGGCUUAACCCCGGAACUGCCUUUGAAACUGGGAGGCUGGAGACUCGGAGAGGAUAGUGGAAUUCCAAGUGUAGAGGUGAAAUUCGUAGAUACUUGGAGGAACACCGAUGGCGAAGGCAGCUAUCUGGACGAGCACUGACGCUGAGGCGCGAAAGCGUGGGGAUCAGACAGG
rnacentral:rRNA from 1 species